AACGUAGGACGCAAGCGUUAUCCGGAGUUACUGGGCGUAAAGCGCGCGCAGGCGGCUCGACAAGUUCGAUGUGAAAGCGCCCGGCUCAACCGGGCGAGGCCAUUGGAAACUAUCGAGCUGGAGGGCAGUAGAGGCAGGCGGAAUUCCGGGUGGAGUGGUGAAAUGCGUAGAGAUCCGGAGGAACACCAGAGGCGAAGGCGGCCUGCUGGGCUGCACCUGACGCUGAGCCGCGAAAGCCAGGGGAGCGAACGGG
rnacentral:rRNA from 1 species